AAAAGCAUUGGUUUUCCCUUAGAUAUUGGAUCAGAAAGGUACACUUUCAGCUUCACCAUUCGGGAUUCACCAGCACAUUUUGUAAAUGCAGCUUCCUGGGGCAAUGAAGAUUACAUCAAGUCUCUUUCUGACAGCUUUAGGGUUGGUGACUGUGUGAUAAUUGAAAAUCCCCUGAUCCAAAGAAAGGAAAUAGAAAGAGAAGAAAAAUUCAGCCCUGCAACUCCUAGCAACUGUAAACUAUUGCUCAGUGAGAAUCACUCAACAGUUAAAGUUUGUUCCAGUUACGAAGUGGACACAAAGUUACUUUCUUUGAUACAUUUACCUGUUAAAGAGUCUCAUGAUUAUUAUUCAUUGGGUGACAUUGUUGCAAAUGGACACAGUCUUAAUGGGAGGAUUAUUAACGUGCUGGCAGCUGUGAAGUCGGUUGGAGAGCCAAAAUACUUCACAACUUCAGACCGGAGAAAAGGCCAGAGGUGUGAAGUUAGACUCUACGAUGAAACAGAGUCUUCUUUUGCAAUGACAUGUUGGGAUAAUGAAUCCAUUCUACUUGCACAGAGCUGGAUGCCACGAGAAACAGUAAUAUUUGUCUCAGAUGUAAGAAUAAGUUUUGACAAAUUUCGGAACUGCAUGACAGCAACUGUAAUCUCAAAAACCAUUAUUACAACUAAUCCAGGUAAAAAAACUUUGUGAAAUUUUUUA